CCCUUAGAUGUUCUGGGCUGCACGCGCGCUACACUGAAGCGUUCAACGAGUAUUCACCUUGCCCGGGAGGGUUGGGUAAUCUUUUGAAAACGCUUCGUGAUGGGGAUAGAUUAUUGCAAUUAUUAAUCUUGAACGAGGAAUUCCUAGUAAGCGCGAGUCAUCAGCUCGCGCUGAUUACGUCCCUGCCCUUUGUACACACCGCCCGUCGCUACUACCGAUUGGAUGGUUUAGCGAGAGCCUUGGAUUGGAGCCCGGGUGGUCAGCAAUGGCCGCCCGGGAGUCCCUGAGAAAUUGCUCCAGCUUGAUCAUCUAGAGGAAGUAAAAGUCGUAACA
rnacentral:rRNA from 1 species